rnacentral:rRNA from 1 species
UACGAAGGGGGCUAGCGUUGCUCGGAAUCACUGGGCGUAAAGGGUGCGUAGGCGGGUCUUUAAGUCAGGGGUGAAAUCCUGGAGCUCAACUCCAGAACUGCCUUUGAUACUGAAGAUCUUGAGUUCGGGAGAGGUGAGUGGAACUGCGAGUGUAGAGGUGAAAAUUCGUAGAUAUUCGCAAGAACACCAGUGGCGAAGGCGGCUCACUGGCCCGAUACUGACGCUGAGGCACGAAAGCGUGGGGGAAGCAAACAGGG